rnacentral:rRNA from 1 species
GAUGAACGCUAGCGGCAGGCCUAAUACAUGCAAGACGAACGGUAAGUUGAGUAGCAAUACUUAGCCAAGAGUGUCGUACGGGUGCGUAACACGUAUGCAACCUACCCUAUACAGGAGGAUAGCCUAGGGAAACCUGGAUUAACCCUUCAUAGUAUUAUUGGAUGGCAUCAUUUGAUAAUUAAAACUGAGGUGGUAUAGGAUGGGCAUGCGUCUGAUUAGUUAGUUGGCGGGGUAAUGGCCCACCAAGACGAUGAUCAGUAGGGGUUCUGAGAGGAAGAUCCCCCACACUGGCACUGAGAUACGGGCCAGACUCCUACGGGAGGCAGCAGUAGGGAAUAUUGGUCAAUGGAUGCAAGUCUGAACCAGCCAUGCCGCGUGCAGGAAGAAGGCCUUCUGGGGUUGUAAAACUGCUUUUUGAUUGGGAACAGAUGACUCUUGCGAGAGUAGCUGAGUGUACCAAUAGAAUAAGCCACGGCUAACUACGUGCCAG